GGCGCUGGCCUGGAAUCCUACAAACAAGGAGGAGUGGGGGAGCUGGCCACUUCAGCCUGAGGCCCCCCACCUCCUGGUCCUGCCACGCAUCUGUGUGGCCGGGGACUGCUAAGAGGGUCCCCACUGCCUGCUUCCUCAUCACUGUGUGCACCCGUAUCACUGCCACAACCCAGUCCUAAUCAUGGCCUGAAACACUGCAGCCUGCCACAGUUGGCACUGUGCCAGGCACGGGCUUUGCCAACUCAUUCAACCCUCCCAAUGAGUGCUGUUACUCCUGCUUUGCAGCAGAGGGAACUGACCUUCAGAAGUGCCCAGGCUGGAGUGUAGUGCUGAGAUCUUGGCUUACUGCAACCUCUGCCUCCCAAGUUCAAGCGAUUCUCCUGCCUUAGCCUCCCGAGUAGCUAGGAUUACAGACACCCACCACCAUGCCCAGAACCAGGAUGAAGAUGUUUGUGGCUGAGGCAGCUACUGGGUACCUCUCCAGAUGCAGAGGGUGUUGGCCGGAGUUCACACAGCCAUAGUGGGCCCAGAAUGGAAGCCAUGUCUGGAAGAAGAGAAAGAAGAAUAUGGAGGCUUCAUAUUAUAGCAGCUGAGAAUAGGCUACCCAUGGACUUCUUUAGUGUGAAAUAAUAAAAACUUGUAUGUUUA